rnacentral:lncRNA from 1 species
GUCCCUCGCGGGCCCGGCAGUCACUGCUGUCCCCACUCGGGCCUGAACACCCGCGCCCCCGUCAUCCCAUCACCCGGUCGUCCAGCUCGGCAGACACUCACGCUCUGCUAGCAUCGACAUUGUCUCAAGUUUGUCGAACGCUGCCUCUGGCCUGACGCCCAGCGGUUAUGAGGAACCUGAAGCGCGGUUAAGGAAGAAGCCGGCUCGGAAAGCACGCCGGGUGGAGAGCUUCGCUGGGGCGCGUACUACUGACGUCACCACGCGCGACUCGCUACCAACUGCAUGAAGCGGAGGGGCGGACCCGCCUUGGGGGACUGAGGCACAGAUUCUUUCUAGGGCUGGGGCAGAGCUGGUUCGUGCGCAGUUCGCAGUUUAACUCUGAAAGCGGGUGUGCAAGCAACCUUAGAGUUGUCCGGGGUUCUGUGAACCAUGGGUACAUUUAAAGAGCUGGAGAGACGGCCGAAGAGGAAGGUAUUGGCACUGGAAGGGACCUAUGCUCUUCACACUCUACCUCUGCCCAUUGUGGGAUGCUGAGAGAGGAGGGAGGGAGGGAGAGAAGGCAGAAACAGCCACCUAGCUGGCAAAGUCAAAUGAAACACCGUGGUUUUGUGCUUAACGGCCGGCCGAGAAAUGUUAACUCUUUCGUGGUCUUCGCUGUGACAGACUUAAAUCCCAGAGGCCUUUCCCAGUUCCAUCGCUCUCCCUGGCAUUUUUGCUCAAUGCGUCCUGUCACAUUCUGUUCCCUCUUUUUGCUGUCCUGUCUCCUCCAAAGGUGUGACCUCAGCUAUCUCCCACGCUGUUUAUUUGCCCUUUUUUCCUCUAGCCUCUCCCUUCAACGUCCCUUUCUUUGUCAAGGCUUCGACUUCCAAAUAGACCUUAGCUUUUCUCAAAUCUUCUUUGUUUAGCCAUGCCUUCAGCACCGGCCAGUGCCCUUACCUUCCAAAGGCUCUUCUUCCCUCGUUUUGUCUUUCCUUAGGAAGGUCACAUCCAUUUUUCAUCAGACCUAACAAGAUACCAUGUAGACCCCCGAUGCACUCAGGGCAACUCUUCUAUGAUGCAGUGUGCUGGUGAAAUAGGGCUGUGCUGGAGGACCUGAGAAUCAGGCAUGACUGUCACGUUUACCUACCUGUAAGAUGAGGACAUUGAUAGCCCCCAGCCAAGAAUGAUUGUGUACUUGACCACCAAUUAUUAACAAGAAAGAAGAGGCAGUAAAUGUGACCGUGUGGCAAUGGGGCUGGGUCUGACCAAAUCACCUACUUAGGAUAUCUGGGCUUUGCCCCAAAUCCUUUCCCUUUCCCUGGGCCAGGGUUCCUGUUCUAGAUAACCAAGCCCAAGCCCAGGUAAACGGUGAGCUUUAAAGAAGGAGGGCACACAGGAGCAUUUCCUCACAUUCAGUGAGGACACCAGCUUUGAUGUAUGACCCCUCACUCCUCUCUAAAAGAUCUUUACAGGACAAGGCAGAUUCACCAAAGAGUAGAAUUCCUGGUGAGUGUCCCUGGAUCACAGCAUCAGCUACCUUUGAAAGUCUUUGUCCUUUGUUUGUUUGAAAACAUCUUUGGGGAGCAUCGUAAACUUCUAUUGUCCAUUAACCCCAGUUUAAGAAGAAUUGGAGGAGCAAGUGUGGAGAGGACAGAAAGGAAAGUAUGCAAUCCACGCAGCCCUGGAGUCUGAAGCAAGUUUAUUAGGGCACUGUAUGGAACCUGUUUCUAUCCUGGCUUUGCCUAGAGCAGAAACUAGUCUUGGUGAUUAAAAAAAAAAAAAGUAAGCUAGUAAAUUAUUUAAUCAUUGUAGAAAUAAAAGGCAACCGGAAAAG